rnacentral:lncRNA from 14 species
CGCCUUUCUCACAGUCGUGGUUUUUCAAGUAGGAACUAGCUUCCAGAUUUCACCUUCUUUCCUCUUGUGAUCUGAUUCUCAUUAUGAGUAAGGGCUUCAUCUCAUUUCAUUCUUAUAUGACUGCAAGAUUUUCACUGUAGUUUUAAUGAAAAAGGAUGCAAUAAAGUAAAAAGACACCAUGUGAUCCAAAACAAAAGGUUAAGAACAUGGACAAAAACUGGAACACUGACUUCAUGCUUGAUGUGUCCAUUACUUUUACAAGAGAGGUGACAUGAAGACAUGAUAACAAGAA